rnacentral:lncRNA from 1 species
UUUAAUUAGAAAAGGGCUUUGUUUUAUUUAUUUUUACACUGUAUGUGGUAGAAUUUUAUUUUAGACUCCUAAUAGCUCACAGUUUGUCUGUGCACUGGUGACUGCAGCACUUCCUCCUCCUGCACUUGGUGCUGGGGAGGGUUUGAGACCAGGUGUUGACACUUCUGUGGAUGGCUCAGUGGCCUUGGUGACACAAGAGGAUUUGCUUUGUGACUGACCUGAGCAUCCACAGAGGGCAGCUUUGUCCUCUCAGUGUGGAGAGCAGAUGGGCUGUUUAGCUUUUCCUGCGAUAUUGCAGGAAGCUUUGUGGAGCCUCGGCCUGCCUUAGAGCAUGGAGGCAAGCUGCACCGCUCGUGGGCUGACCGGGUGAUAACUCCCCAUGAUUUCCUCCUGGGUGGCUGGAGGACCUGGGAAGUUCUUCAAGAGCAGCUGUGUGUGUGUGAAAUAUGGUCUCAGAGUGCCUGUGGCCUCCCGUGGUCCAACCUUGUCCCAGGCAGUGUGGACACCCAGGUGGCAGCUCCCCAGGUGACCUAUGGAGUCGGGGCAGCUCAAUCAGAGAGGUAAUUGGUGC